ACGGGGGGGGUAAGCGUUGUUCGGAAUUACUGGGCGUAAAGGGCUCGUAGGCGGCCAACUAAGUCGGACGUGAAAUCCCUCAGCUUAACUGGGGAACUGCGUCCGAUACUGGAUGGCUUGGAUUUGGGAGAGGGAUGCGGAAUUCCAGGUGUAGCGGUGAAAUGCGUAGAGAUGUGGAGGAACACCGAUGGCGAAGGCAGCCCCCUGGGCUAACACUGACGCUCAUGCACGAAAGCGUGGGGAGCAAACAGGA
rnacentral:rRNA from 1 species